CCUCCCCCCGCCGUGUUCGCGCUGCAUCACCAUGGAUACGGUCACGUGACACAGCCCCACGUGCCCGGCCCCGCCCAUCCCCCCCCCCAGGUGAUCACGCUGCUCCACGCCCCGCCCCCCGGGCAGGCCCCGCCCCCGGCGCUGCCGGCGCAGAGCCCCGCCCCCUUCGGCUUCCUCGGCCACGCCCCAGUUCAGUCCCAGCAGCUCCAGUUCCACCCCGGGACCUGAUUGACAGCGCGGGGGGCGGGGCCAACCCGAACAGGGGCGGGGCCUCGCUCCCCACCCCGCCCCUCCCCCACCCCUGUUUUGUAUUAAUUUAUAGUGGGGAGGGGGAGGGGCCGGGGUGGGGGAUGGGAAUUUGGGGCAGAAACGGCCGAAAAAAGGGAAAAACAAAAUAAAAUUUAAGAAACAGAAUAAAAAUGAAAAAAAAAAAAC